CAGCAGUGAGGAAUAUUGGGCAAUAGGCGCAAGCCUGACCCAGCCAUGCCGCGUGCAGGAUGACGGCCCUACGGGUUGUAAACUGCUUUUGUACGGGAAUAAACCCACGCUCGUGAGCGUGACUGAAGGUACCGUACGAAAAAGGAUCGGCUAACUCCGUG
rnacentral:rRNA from 1 species